rnacentral:rRNA from 1 species
AGCAGCCGCGGUAAUUCCAGCUCCAAUAGCGUAUAUUAAAGUUGUUGCAGUUAAAAAGCUCGUAGUUGAAUUUCGGAAUUUGUCGGUUGGUCGGGCUUCACUGUCCGCACUGGCCUGAUGAAUUCCUACCUUCUGAAUAACCAGCAUGCUAUUAAUUUAGUGCGUUGGGGAAGCAGAGCUAUUACCUUGAAAAAAUUAGAGUGCUUAAAGCAGGCUCACGCUUGAAUAGAUUAGCAUGGAAUAAUAAAAUAGGACGGCUUGGUUCUAUUUUGUUGGUUUCUAGGAUCACCGUAAUGAUUAAUAGGGAUAGUUGGGGGCAUUAGUAUUCAAUUGUCAGAGGUGAAAUUCUUGGAUUUAUUGAAGACUAACUUCUGCGAAAGCAUUUGCCAAGGAUGUUUUCAUUAAUCAAGAACGAAAGUUAAGGGAUCGAAGACGAUCAGAUACCGUCGUAGUCUUAACCAUAAACUAUGCCGACUAGGGAUCGGACGAUGUUAAUUUAAUGACUCG